rnacentral:rRNA from 1 species
ACAUGCAAAGCAUACCACCCUGAGAACGCCCGAUUACAUAUGAUCUCGGAAGCUAAGCAGGAUGGGGCCUGGCUAGCUCAAUCCGUAGAGCAAUCCCAGGGUCGUGGGUU